rnacentral:pre_miRNA from 1 species
CGAUGUUGGGUAGAGUUAUAUGGAAUGAAAGAUGUGAAUUUCUUUUUGAAUUCUAUUCAUUUAAUUUUCUCUCUCUCGUUCCAUAUAUCGUCUAAUCAACAAAGU